rnacentral:lncRNA from 1 species
UCUUGCUUUCACACUCUUCCAUUUCCCUUCUCUCCUCUCCAAUAUCUUCUUCCUCUUCUCUGGCCACUCCUGUCAAAAAACUUUCAGGCCACAUUUCCAUUUCCAGGGAAGAAAGAGAAGAACCUCCUUGUUUGAAAGAACCACUUAUUUCCUGGUUUCUUUUUUACUUUGAAAGUGUAUCUGGCCUGUACUUUCUAUAAAAGACUAGAAACCCUCUUCAUUUUUCAGUGAGUUGGUCCCAAUCUGUGGUUUAUAUCUUCUAAUUUAUCAGCUGUUGAUUUUCAAAGAUGGAUUCUUUUCAAUACCCAAUAUCUAGACCCUACUCUGUUUUUUUAAAGCCCUGAAAGUGAUUGCAUUGCCAGGAAGUUGUGAUCCAUUGGCCUCAUUUUGGGUCCCAUCCGUGUACCUGCAUAAGUUUCAAUAUUCAACUCCCAUUUUUCUAUUCUUCUGUGCCAUCAAAAUUUAUUUUUUUGAUUAGGCCUAUGAUGUUAUAUUCAUCGAUUUUGCCUUCCUAGUCAAAUAUAAGAUGCUCCUAUGUUUCUUUGUUUUUUUAUUUGUAUUGUGGCCUAAAAGAGAACAGUUGAUACUUCUGAUGAGGUCAAGGUGGUACUCUUAGCCGGCUUCUUGAAUUAUAAUCUCCUUUCCUGCCCUUUUCAGGUACUAAAGUUCGAAUCUUUAGACCCUUCUUGAAUUUGUGGCUGCUUCACUGUCAUUGUUUUCUGCUUGAUUAUAUCAUACAAUCCUUCAAAUUCCUGGAUUUGGUCCUGUUUUUGCCUAAUAAUCAUUGAAAUGUGAUUCACUAGCUUUGAUUUUGUGUCAAUGAUUCUUCUAGUCUUGAAGGGGUCGUUAUCUUGAACCUCUCCUUCCGUAAGCUGCAUUGUGCUUAUUUUGAAAAUCUUGGUAGCUGCCUAAUUUUCUACUGUACCGCGCCUCCAAUGUGUAAAAUGAGGUUCAGUGGAUUUAACCUCUCCUGAUUCUUUAGGGGC